rnacentral:rRNA from 1 species
AGUCAAAGACCUCUUUCGCGGGGCCCACCGAUCUCACGGUCUGUCUUCUCCCCUCCACAUCUCCAAAGUCUCUUCCAACCAUGGCUAUCGCCGCCGCUUCGCCGCCGCCGACCGCCACCGAGGACAACGUCCGCCUCCUUCUCCCUGGAUUCCUCUCCCCCGAGACCUGCAAGGAGCUGGAGUUCGUGCACCGGAGCUGCGGGACGGCGGGGUACCGGCCUUCGGUGGUGUCUACAUCGCUGCCGCAUCUGGCUGCCACCGGCUGCGGCCACCUACUCCUCCCCUUCGUGCCCAUCCGCGAGCGACUCCGCGACGCCGUCGAGUCCUUCUUCUCCUGCCACUUCGACCUCUUCGUCGAGUUCACCGGACUCGUCAGUUGGUGCAAGGGUUCUUCUAUUGGAUGGCACAGUGACGACAACAAACCUUAUCUUAGGCAAAGAGCCUUCACUGCUGUGUGCUACUUGAACAAUCAUGGAAAGGACUUUAAGGGUGGACUGUUGAAGUUUCAGGAUGGUGAACCCUCCACUGUUAUUCCAGUUGCUGGUGAUGCUGUCAUCUACACUGCUGAUAAUCGUAAUGUGCAUUGUGUAGAUGAGGUACGUUUCUGUUUUCUGUGUGGAUCAGUUUUUUUUACUGUAGUAUAUGCACGCCUAUCCUCCUUCACUAAUGUUGGUUAUCAUAUUUUGUGCCAUUAUUUAGAUACAAUAAAAGUUCUCUAUUAUUUUUAUUGUUUUCUAUUUAUGAAACAAAUGGGGAAAAUGUGUUAAAGUCAGCUGUAGCAACGGUUGAUUGCGAACUAAUUGUUUCAUGGUCAAAUAUUUUCUCUUUUUCCCUUGCAUAGGCUUUGCAAAACUCAAUUCAUCGGCAGCCUUUGUUUUUUCCUCAAGAUAUUGUCAGUCUUUUGACGUUUUACACGAGAACUUUUCUUUUUAUCAACAAACUAUAGCAAAUCUUUUACAGGUAACUGAGGGUGAAAGGCUCACACUUACUCUUUGGUUCACUAGAGAUAGUUCUUUUGAUGAGGAUCCAAAGCUCCUUAGUUUUCUAUCCCAAACAUCACUGAGCUAUGAGCCAGCUGAUCAGAACUCUUAUAUUCCUUUGCCAGCCUCAGAUAACAUGUACUGGUUUUCCUACGAUCAGUCUGGCUUUGACAUACGAUGUGCUAGAAUACACAUUCUUGGGUUUAGUUUUCGUGCAAGCAGCGAUGAAGACAGUAAGAGUACAUCUGGUGCACCAGCUGAUGACCCCAUAGAGUUGCUUGGGAAGCCACUGCGAAUUGGGAGGGCAGAUGAUGUCUUUGGGAAGAUAUUUGCCAACAGCUUGCACGCUCUUCAGGUGGUGCAAUUUUACUACUGGAAAGCACCUGAACUGGCAGCAAGGAGAAACCAGACUACUGGUGGUUCAGAAACAGUUUGCUACCCUACUAUACAAGUACAGCAAUCAAGUGGAAUGGAACUUCCAUUACCGUGUAACCAUGGACUUGCACAGACCAUAUUUGGAUCAUAUAGCAAUGUGGAUUCUGUUAUUGAAUGGGAUGAUGUUGUGUUAGCACUUGCUAUGUGGGAGAAUUAUUCAGAAGAAUUGAAGAGAAAGUUGUCGAUAUUCUUGCCAAAUUGGCUGUCCAAUGGAACCAUUUUUGUUUUAGAUCCCUCCGAGCCUACCCAGGUAUGUGGUGAAGGGAACUAAACACUGCCCUUAUAAAAAUGAAAAUCAUACUAGUAACAUAACAAUGAUGUUAGGUAGCAUUACGUCUGACAUGGCCGUGGAGAGUUUUGAAUUUAACUGUUGCUCAUUGGGGUAAUCUCUCUAAGAUGGAUUCACUGGUGUUAAAACAUUAUGGAAAACCGUUCCUUGAUAUAUGUAUUUUAGACAGCUUUCAUGUGGCUUAAUAUAGACCUAUUCUGUUUUAUAGAACGUUCUAUCUGCUGUUAGCCUGUUACC